rnacentral:rRNA from 1 species
AGUGAACGCUGGCGGUAGGCCUAACACAUGCAAGUCGAACGGCAGCACAGUAAGAGCUUGCUCUUACGGGUGGCGAGUGGCGGACGGGUGAGGAAUACAUCGGAAUCUACUUUUUCGUGGGGGAUAACGUAGGGAAACUUACGCUAAUACCGCAUACGACCUACGGGUGAAAGCAGGGGAUCUUCGGACCUUGCGCGAUUGAAUGAGCCGAUGUCGGAUUAGCUAGUUGGCGGGGUAAAGGCCCACCAAGGCGACGAUCCGUAGCUGGUCUGAGAGGAUCAACAGCCACACUGGAACUGAGGCAGGGUCCAGACUCCUACGGGAGGCAGCGGUGGGGAAUAUUGGACAAUGGGCGCAAGCCUGAUCCAGCCAUACCGCGUGGGUGAAGAAGGCCUUAGGGUUGUAAAGCCCUUUUGUUGGGAAAGAAAAGCAGCAGGUUAAUACCCCGCUGUUCUGACGGUACCCAAAGAAUAAGCACCGGCUAACUUCGUG